CUCCAGACUCCUACGGGAGGCAGCAGUGGGGAAUAUUGCACAAUGGGGGAAACCCUGAUGCAGCGACGCCGCGUGAGUGAAGAAGUAUUUCGGUACGUAAAGCUCUUUCAGCAGGGAAGAAAAAAAGUCCUUUGGACUUUGGACGGUACCUGACCAAGAAGCCCCGGCUAACUACGUGCCAGCAGCCGCGGUAAUACGUAGGGGGCAAGCGCUAUCCGGAUUUACUGGGUGUAAAGGGAGCGUAGACGGCAGCGCAAGUCUGGAGUGAAAUGCCGGGGCCCAACCCCGGAACUGCUUUGGAAACUGUGCAGCUCGAGUGCAGGAGAGGUAAGUGGAAUUCCUAGUGUAGCGGUGAAAUGCGUAGAUAUUAGGAAGAACACCAGUGGCGAAGGCGGCUUACUGGACUGUAACUGACGCUGAGGCAUGAGAGCAUGGGGAGCAAACAGGAUUAGAUACCCCAGUAC
rnacentral:rRNA from 1 species